rnacentral:rRNA from 1 species
AGUGAACGCUGGCGGUAGGCCUAACACAUGCAAGUCGAACGGCAGCACAGUAAGAGCUUGCUCUUACGGGUGGCGAGUGGCGGACGGGUGAGGAAUACAUCGGAAUCUACUUUUUCGUGGGGGAUAACGUAGGGAAACUGACGCUAAUACCGCAUACGACCUACGGGUUAAAACAGGUGAUCUUCGGACCUUGCGCGAUUGAAUGAGCCGAUGUCGGAUUAGCUAGUUGGCGGGGUAAAGGACAACCAAGGCGACGAUCCGUAGCUGGUCUGAGAGGAUGAUCAGCCACACUGGAACUGAGACACGGUCCAGACUCCUACGGGAGGCAGCAGUGGGGAAUAUUGGACAAUGGGCGCAAGCCUGAUCCAGCCAUACCGCGUGGGUGAAGAAGGCCUUCGGGUUGUAAAGCCCUUUUGUUGGGAAAGAAAAGCAGCAGGUUAAUACCCCGCUGUUCUGACGGUACCCAAAGAAUAAGCACCGGCUAACUUCGUG